rnacentral:rRNA from 1 species
UACGUAGGGUGCGAGCGUUGUCCGGAAUUAUUGGGCGUAAAGAGCUUGUAGGCGGUCUGUCGCGUCUGCUGUGAAAAUCCGGGGCUCAACCCCGGACUUGCAGUGGGUACGGGCAGACUAGAGUGUGGUAGGGGAGACUGGAAUUCCUGGUGUAGCGGUGAAAUGCGCAGAUAUCAGGAGGAACACCGAUGGCGAAGGCAGGUCUCUGGGCCGGUACUGACACUAAGGCGCGAAAGCGUGGGGAGCGAACAGG